rnacentral:lncRNA from 1 species
CAGUUAGAAGCCCUGGGUUACGGAAGAGAACCGUGGAAACCAGCGACUAGUGUUCAGUUAGAUUAGGACGAACCCGGCACUUAGCUGCACAGGAACAAUGGUGAGCCUCUUUGGGCGCCUCACUGGGUCAGAAGGGCAGAGGAUGCCCUGCUGGAUCUGGAGGAGUGGAAGUCAAUGGCGGGUCUGCCAGGGCGGCAUUCAGCGGUGGUGGACGGAGGGCGUUCAGCGGUGGUGGACGGAGGGCGUUCAGCGGUGGUGGACGGAGGGCGUUCAUCGGUGGUGGACGGCGGCGUUCAGCGGUGGUGGACGGACGGCCUUCAGCAGUGGUGAACGGUGAACGAGUCUCACUCUGUCACCAGGCUGGAGUGCAGUGGCGCGAUCUUGACUCACUGCAACCUCCGCCUCCCGGGUUCAAGCGAUUCUCCUGCCUCAGCCUCCCGAGUAGCUGGAACUACAGGUCCUGGACAAAGAUCAGACCAGAUGUGAGGAAUGCUGAAAAUGAAAU